rnacentral:rRNA from 1 species
GACGAACGCUGGCGGCGUGCUUAACACAUGCAAGUCGAACGGAGAACCUCUUCGGAGGGGAUCAGUGGCGAACGGGUGAGUAACCCGUGGGCAACCUGCUCCCGGCUCUGGGAUAACUCCAAGAAUUUGGGGCUAAUACCGGAUGUUCACCGCUUCCCGCAUGGGGGGUGGUGGAAAGUGUUUCGGGCUGGGGAUGGGUCCGCGGCCUAUCAGCUUGUUGGUGGGGUAGUGGCCUACCAAGGCGACGACGGGUAGCCGACCUGAGAGGGUGACCGGGCACCCUGCGCCUGCGGGAGGGCGCAGACGGCAACGGGAGGCAGCGGUCGGGAAUAUUGCGCAGCGAGGGGAAGCGUGACGCAGCGGCGCCGCGUGGGGGAUGACGGCUUGCGGGUUGUAAACCGCUUUCAGCAGAGACGAAGCGCAAGUGACGGUACCUGCAGAAGAAGCAACGGCCAACUACGUG